UUGAUCCUGGCUCAGAUUGAACGCUGGCGGCAGGCCUAACACAUGCAAGUCGAACGGUAGCACAGAGAGCUUGCUCUCGGGUGACGAGUGGCGGACGGGUGAGUAAUGUCUGGGAAACUGCCUGAUGGAGGGGGAUAACUACUGGAAACGGUAGCUAAUACCGCAUAACGUCGCAAGACCAAAGAGGGGGACCUUCGGGCCUCUUGCCAUCAGAUGUGCCCAGAUGGGAUUAGCUAGUAGGUGGGGUAACGGCUCACCUAGGCGACGAUCCCUAGCUGGUCUGAGAGGAUGACCAGCCACACUGGAACUGAGACACGGUCCAGACUCCUACGGGAGGCAGCAGUGGGGAAUAUUGCACAAUGGGCGCAAGCCUGAUGCAGCCAUGCCGCGUGUAUGAAGAAGGCCUUCGGGUUGUAAAGUACUUUCAGCGGGGAGGAAGGUGUUGUGGUUAAUAACCGCAGCAAUUGACGUUACCCGCAGAAGAAGCACCGGCUAACUCCGUGCCAGCAGCCGCGGUAAUACGGAGGGUGCAAGCGUUAAUCGGAAUUACUGGGCGUAAAGCGCACGCAGGCGGUCUGUCAAGUCGGAUGUGAAAUCCCCGGGCUCAACC
rnacentral:rRNA from 1 species